GACGGAGGGGGCUAGCGUUGUUCGGAAUGACUGGGCGUAAAGGGCGCGUAGGCGGUAUUUUAAGUGAGGCGUGAAAGCCCCGGGCUUAACCCGGGAGGUGCGUUUCAUACUGGAAUGCUAGAGUACGAGAGAGGAAAGUGGAAUUCCUAGUGUAGAGGUGAAAUUCGUAGAUAUUAGGAAGAACACCAGAGGCGAAGGCGGCUUUCUGGCUCGUAACUGACGCUGAGGCGCGAAAGCGUGGGGAGCAAACAGG
rnacentral:rRNA from 1 species